rnacentral:lncRNA from 1 species
UGGGCUUCAUGUAUCUGAAUUCCCUGAAGGAGAGAACCAGUAGAAUGUGUACAGAAACUGGAAAAGUUCUUGAGACCAAUCAACAAUACAAAGAACGGAAAACAUGUCUGUGAAGUCUGAUAAAAGCUAGCAAGAGAGAAGAGAAGGGGCAGUUGACUUCCCUGAGCUGGGACAAACAGCCACAACGAGCAGAUGAGAAACAACAGAGCAAUGAAGCCUCUUCAGAAAUUUCGUGACAUGGAAUUUGAACCACUUGGAUGGAGGAGAAGUGUCAUUGUCUAAUGGCACCAACAUCAUAGGUUUGUGGGUAUUUGCUCCAUUGUGCCCAAAAUAAACUCAGUGUCU